rnacentral:rRNA from 1 species
UACGUAGGGGUCCGAGCGUUGUCCGGAAUUACUGGGCGUAAAGAGCUCGUAGGUGGUUUGUCGCGUUGUUCGUGAAAACUCACAGCUUAACUGUGGGCGUGCGGGGCGAUACGGGGCAGCUUGAGUACUGCAGGGGGAGACUGGAAUUCCUGGUGUAGCGGUGGAAUGCGCAGAUAUCAGGAGGAACACCGGUGGCGAAGGCGGGUCUCUGGGCAGUAACUGACGCUGAGGAGCGAAAGCGUGGGGGAGCGAACAGG